CUACCGGGGUAUCUAAUCCCAUUCGCUCCCCUGGCUUUCGUUCCUCAGCGUCAGUUAUGGCCCAGUUAGUCGCCUACGCCACUGGUGUUCUUCCCAAUAUCUACGCAUUUCACCGCUACACUGGGAAUUCCACUAACCUCUACCACACUCCAGUCUGCCAGUAUCCAAUGCACUCCCGAGGUUGAGCCCCGAUCUUUAACAUCAGACUUAACAAACCGCCUACGAACUCUUUACGCCCAAUAAAUCCGGACAACGCUUGCAUCCUACGUCUUACCGCGGCUGCUGGCAC
rnacentral:rRNA from 1 species